rnacentral:rRNA from 1 species
AGAGCGAACGCUGGCGGCAGGCCUAACACAUGCAAGUCGAACGGACCCUUCGGGGUUAGUGGCGGACGGGUGAGUAACACGUGGGAACGUGCCUUUUGGUUCGGAAUAGCUCCUGGAAACGGGUGGUAAUGCCGAAUGUGCCCUUCGGGGGAAAGAUUUAUCGCCAUUAGAGCGGCCCGCGUCUGAUUAGCUAGUUGGUGAGGUAAAGGCUCACCAAGGCUACGAUCAGUAGCUGGUCUGAGAGGAUGACCAGCCACAUUGGGACUGAGACACGGCCCAAACUCCUACGGGAGGCAGCAGGUGGGGAAUCUUGCGCAAUGGGACAAAGCCUGACGCAGCCAUCGCCGCGUGAAUGAUGAAGGUCUUAAGGAUUAGUAAAAUUCGUUCGACCGGGUACAUAAUGGAACGGUACCGGAGAAGACGCCCGGAUAACGUCGUGCCAGCCAGGCCGAC